UCCAUGGGUCCAGAUGAUGAAGAUGUCAUCAAUGUAGCGCAAAUAGAGUAGGGGCAUUAGGGGACGAGAGCUGAGGAAGCGUUGUUCUAAGUCAGCCAUAAAAAUGUUCCUGUAUGCCCUCCCCACUCUGAUGUCAAGUUCCCAGGACAACUCUACUCCUCCAAGUUUAAAAGCUGUCACGGAGCCAGCUGUCGCCCACUUGCUCCUAAUCCCAGUCUAUCAGCAUUCUUGUGAUACAAAUGCAAUAACAUACUGGAAACCCCACAGCAUGCCUUGUGCAGCUGCUUGGAGCCUUGCUGACCCCCUGGAUCUCAUUGCCAUCUGGGAGAAGUAUCUUUUCAGGAAGCUCUUGUGGCCAGUCUAUGGACAUUCAAAAGCAGGUGUCCGUGAGUGGUCACGAUCGGGAUAUUGACCAGUGCUAGAUAAAGAACAAGCAGCUCAGGAGAAAAUACAUUGAAACAAGGGACAAAGGAGACAGUCCAGCAGGGUACGUGUGACCUGUCAGGUUUUUGAUGACUUGGACAGUAGUCUACACAAUUAUAGCACAACCUACCCCAGGCACAAUUUUGAGCCUUCUACCCUCACUUCACCCUCACCUGAGGCCAACUGGCAAAAUCCAUCAGGGUCUGAGCAGGAGGAUCCCAGAGAGGAGCUGUCCUCUGACAACCAGGGUCUUUUUUGGACUCAGGACCCUGAUGACGGUCAGCUGGAAAGCCAGCCCUAGACUAGCCCUACUGUAUCUGACCUUGAUUUCUGCACUGCAUCAGCUGAGCCAAGUCCCAGUGAGAAACAGGCCAGGAUCAUAGAGGCAGAUUCCCUGGAAGGAACGUCAACAUCACCUGCAAUGGCCAGACUCUCAAGGACAGGGUCUCUAUGUGUUGCUGAGAGGCUGGCUAACCUGAGGAGGAGUGGGGGAAGACUUGGGAUGAGAAGUUUUCAGAACUCAUGGCAGAGUCCCAGAGGAAAACCAGUUUGAGAAGUGGAAGCUCUAUAUGAGGACCCAGAGGGAGAAAGAAAUGCAGUUCUCCCAAGAGAUUGUGGCAUUGGCCAUGGACAGCAUGAAAAAAAGACAGGGAACUGUAGUGGUAACUCGUGGAUGCCAUUUUCAGCCAGAAUAUGCUAUCCUCCAAAACACGCCCUUGUUUGGCCAGCAGGUCCUGUAAUCCUGGACACAGCUGAGUCCAUCAGCAUAUAGGCGGUACUGGGACCAGCAGCAACUCCUUCCCACCAAACUACCCCCAUCAGUGCUCCUGAUGCUAUUCUCCUCUCAGAACCAACCUCUGGGCACCAAGAACUCUAUACCUGAAAACCCAGCUCUUUUGAUCCCUGCAAUGCCCCUGAAAUCUUUCAGCCACAACACUCCACUGAAGAACCCUUGUGGAGAAGAAGAUCCAGAUGGAAGUCAUAUACACAUCUGUAACUUUAACUCCAUUCCUCCCCAGUUUUUUUCUAUUUGCAGUGUUCUUACUGUUGCACUUUCAGUUCUGUUUGUAUUGUUGCUCUGAUUAAAGGUUGGCUUAUAGUUGGUUUAAUUAGUAGAUUGUUUAAAUUUAUUUGCAAAAUGUAUAUUUUUCCAUUGGUUUCAUAAAACCUUUAUUUUGCGUUUAUCGUUCUUUAUAAUAAAAACAGCUUGCAAUG